rnacentral:rRNA from 1 species
UACAGAGGUCUCGAGCGUUGUUCGGAUUCAUUGGGCGUAAAGGGCGCGUAGGCGGCGGGGUAAGUCUGGUGUGAAAUCUAGGAGCUCAACUCCUAAACUGCACUGGAUACUGCUCUGCUGGAGGACUGGAGAGGAGACUGGAAUUCACGGUGUAGCAGUGAAAUGCGUAGAUAUCGUGAGGAAGACCAGUGGCGAAGGCGGGUCUCUGGACAGUUCCUGACGCUGAGGCGCGAAGGCCAGGGGAGCAAACAGG